CCUGAGCUUUUGUGAAGGCGCGUCUAAAAUAGAAUAACAAACAUAAUUAGAUAGGGAAUGGUUUUAAAUAAUUGCCUGCAUCUUUGACUUCCGUCGCAUAUAUUCUGCCUCACACGUCUUACUUUCAAUAGCUGCGCGCGACACGUGUUGGAUCUCUUUGCAGUCGGGGCUCUGAAAGAUCUGCACGUUAGGUCCUCGAUAUUGGAGUUGAAGUCAGUAUGCUCUGGAUCUCCUGUUUAAAACGGCCCCUCCCAACGGGGUCAACAUGGCUGAUGCAUGGUCAGUGUAUCAGUUUUGCGGGAUGUCUUUCACCGCAUACACGAAGUACCACCUGGAAAGACAUGCCAUGUUGAGUCGGCUCCAUGGCAACCAGAUGGAGUCCAAUGGCCAUCAGAUCUUAAUCUGUGUGAGAUUAUGCUUGAAUACUCAUGGAAUCAUCUAGAUGGCCCUGCUUUACAUCUAGCAAGAAUAAUCACUGUACUGAUGGAGUGACCAUUUCCUUUAAGAUGAAGCAUGCCAACGGCACAUUUCUAUUGGCUGCUUUGCGCUGAGGUGAUCGUUCAGUUCUGAGUGCUCAACUGUCAUCUAGAAAUGGAGACGUCACUCCUGAUGUGAUGAAAUGAUCUUUGAGGUUUGGUUCUGAGUGCUCAACUGUUUCAUCUAGAAAUGGAGAUGUCACUCCUGAUGUGAUGGAACAAUCAUUGGGUGCAUCGGUUUUGCGGGUUGUCAUCACCGCAUAAACAAAGUACCACCUGGAAAGACAUGCCAUGUUGAGUCGGCUCCAUGGCAACCAGAUGGAGUCCAAUGGCCAUCAGAUCUUAAUCUGUGAGAUUAUGCUUGAAUACUCAUGGAAUCAUCUAUAUGGCCCUGCUUUACAUCUUGGUAGCAAGAAAAAUUAAUGUACUGAUGGAGUGACCAUUUCCGUUAAGAUGAAGCAUGCCAACGGCACAUUUCUAUUGGCUGCUUUGUGCUGAGAUUAUGCUUGAAUACUCCUGGAGUCGUCUGGAUGGCCCUGCUUUACAUCUUGGUAGCAAGAAUAAUGGAGAUAUUAUCACUGUACUGAUGGAGUGACCAUUUCCUUUCAGAUGAAGCAUGGCAACGGCACAUUUCUAUUGGCUGCUUUGUGCUGAGGUGAUCGUUCAGUUCUGAGUGCUCAACUGUCAUCUAGAAAUGGAGACGUCACUCCUGAUGUGAUGAAAUGAUCUUUGAGGUGACUGAUCAGUUCUGGUUUUACAAUUCAGAGAAGUGACAUUUAACAGAAUGAACUCAACAUUAUGCUUGAAUACUCCUGGAAUCUGGAUGGCCCUGCUUUACAUCUUGGUAGCAAGAAUAAUCACUGUACUGAUGAAGUGACCAUUUCCGUUAAGAUGAAGCAUGGCAACGGCACAUUUCUAUUGGCUGCUUUGCGCAGAGGUGAUUGUUCAGGUUCGGUUCUGAGAGCUCAACUGUCAUCUAGAAAUGGAGACGUCACUCCUGAUGUGAUGACAUGAUCUUUGAGGUGACUGGUCAGUUCUGGUUCUACAAUUUCAAGAAGUUCCAUUUAACAGAAUGGACUCGUAUUUGCCAUGUCAUCGAUGACCACAACCUGCACGGCAUCAAGACGACUGAUUUAAGAUCAUGAUUGAUAAUAACACUAACAUGAUCGAUAAUAACACAUAUUUACCCGUUCCAAAAAAGUCUCAAUUCUGAUUAUCAUAAGCAUUGAUUUCACCCAAAUGUAGGGAUCUAUAUCUGUAGGGAUCUGUUAUUAUGUUUUAAAAUGCCAUUUACAUGAAGGAGUAUUCUAUGACCAUGUUCCUCUAAAAACAUUGAAGCUUGAGUUAGAAGUACAGCAGUGUCAUGUUUUAAGAAACCUUUUUUCUGUGUAUGCUGUAGUGGGGGUUAGAAUGGACUACUUGCCGCAAAAGUCAUGUGUAUUGUGUGCUGAAUAUAACAUUUAUGUUGUGUGUUUGUGGAAUUUAAUAAAUAAAGCUGUAAGUCUUACCAUCGCUGUCUCUUGAUCAUGAUUGUAUUAGCAUUGGCAAGUCAGAUGUUUGGAUCACUGACUCAAAUUACAUUUUAAUUAAACACUCAUGACAUUAUGACUACAUACAGUAGCACUUAAUAACAUUACACAAGUCUGGUAGAUGGGCACCCUACAUACUUGGUGGUAACUAACUUUAUACAAUAUAGGCGUUAGCAUUACUCAUGAAGUCUGCAUAGAAAGACUCGUUGGUAUGAAGCGCCAAGGUGUAUGUGCCCUCCAUGCAGACAUGAUGGCUAGCUAGUUAACUAGCUCGUUAUGAGGAUUGACUCCGAAGAAGACAGCGAAGGCAUUCGUUAAAAUAUAUAUUUAAAUAAUUCAAACACACACUCGUCAAUAGAGAUAACGGCCAUCGAAAUGUGUGGUAAAUAAAUAAAAAAAAAAAUUUCAGGGCUGUUACACCAUGGUUU
ensembl:lncRNA